rnacentral:lncRNA from 1 species
AGAACCAGACCUUGCAGAUCUAUCCUGCUGCAGCCUUUCCUGUAGAUCUGUUGAUGGAGAUCUCAUCCGCACCUCAAACGACCUCAGAUCAACUCCAGAUCUGAGAGAAACUUGUACCAACCUCGUAGCAAGAGAUUUCAAGUCCUGGACUUGAUGUUUGGAUGGCUGCAAGAGAGAGAGAGGCAAUAUGGUUGGCGGCACAAAGGGGGAGGGGCUCAAAACCCU